rnacentral:rRNA from 1 species
GACGAACGCUGGCGGCGUGCUUAACACAUGCAAGUCGAACGAAGAGCGAUGGAAGUUUGCUUCUAUCAAUUUUAGUGGCGCACGUGUGUGUAACGUGUAAUCAACCUGUCUUUCAGUGGGGGACAACAGUUGGAAACGACCGCUAAUACCGCAUACGAUCUAAUCUCGGCAUCGAGGAUAGAUGAAAGGUGGCCUCUACACGUAAGCUUUCACUCACGGAGGGGUAUGCGUCUGAUUAGCUAGUUGGUUGGGUAACGGCCCAUCAAUGCGAUGACCAGUAGGCCGUCUGGGGGGGUGGACCGGCACAAUGGGACUGGGAAAAGGCCCAGGCUCCUACGGGGAGCAGCAGGGAGGGAUCUUCCGGAAUGGAGGGAAGGCUGGAGGGGGAAAGCCGCGGGGGUUGAGGAGGGCUUCCGGUUGUUAAGAUCUGUUUAUCAGGGAGAAACGCCUUCGUGCGAAAAGUGAGACGGAUUGACGGUACCGGAACAGAAAGCCACGGCUAACUACGUG